UAUCGUCUGGCGUUUGGGCCUGCGUUUGGGUCUUUCUAUUGUGCUCCCACCGCCUCCCUUUUCUCUCCGACUCCAAUUAGGGUUUGGGUUUCGCGCUCCAGCCGAUCCCGGAGAUGGGCCGUCGAUGGGUGGACAAAGGGAAGGCCGAGUCGGAGGAGGACGAUCACGAGGCGGCUAAGGCCGUGAUCUUCAUCAGCAGCAGCGACGAAGAGGAGGCCAACGAGGACCUCAGCCUCGCCAUCGUGGCGCGGGCGAGGGAGCGCGAGGCCAAUCGGAAGAGGGCGGAAGAAGAAGGCCUCCCGCCUGUAGCCGCUGCGGCACCGGCCUUGGUGAUAGAUCUGUCCUCGUCGCCCUCUGUGGACCAGGAGCCUGCGCCUUCUGGUGGGGAGGCGGCGGUGGAGGCGUCGGUGGAAGGGGAGAAGAAGAAGAAGCGGCGAAGGAAGAAGAGGAAGAAAAACGAGGCUGAAGAGAUUGAAACACCUCAGGUGGUUGAUCCUGCUAAAGAAGAAGAGGAACCAUUGGGCUCAGCUGAUCUUGUAGUCGCUGAAGUGAAUGAAACAUCUGAUAAUGUGGUUCUACGGAAGCUUCUUCGUGGGCCGAGGUACUUUGAUCCUGGGGACAGCAAUUGGGAGACUUGCUUUAACUGCGGUCAAGAAGGCCAUGUGGCUGCAAAUUGUACGAUGGAGAAGCGGCGGAAGCCAUGCUUUGUCUGCGGAAUGUUUGGGCACAAUGGGAAGCAGUGCACACAGGCACAAGAUUGUUUUGUUUGCAAAAGAAGAGGACAUUUUGCAAAAGACUGCCCUGAAAAGCAUAAGAGGAUUUCUCAUGAAUCUAAAAUUUGUCUGCGAUGUGGAGACAUUGGACAUGAUAUGAUAUCAUGUAGGAAUGACUAUUCACCUGGUGAUCUGAAGGAAAUACAGUGUUACAUUUGCAAAAAGUAUGGUCAUCUCUGCUGUGUUGACUUUACAGAUAAUGGUCCAAGAGAAGUCUCUUGUUACAAUUGUGCCCAGCUGGGCCAUACUGGUUUGGGAUGUGCAAGGCCACGUGGUGAAACUGGUGCUGCUGCAUCACCAACUUUAUGCUACAAAUGUGGUGAAGAAGGGCAUUUUGCGCGGGGUUGCACAAAAAUUUCUAUGUCUGCCAGACGGAUGGGUGAAUCAACUCCUACUCGAAAAGUUGCCAAGGAAAAUAAGGACUUUUUGGGGACCAGAUCAGCACCUCAUGGUUUUGCCAAUUUGCGUAAGAAGAAGAGCUUGCUUGAUGAGGAGAGGAAGAAUAUGUCAGCUGGUAGAUCCAGGAUAAAGGGUGGUUGGAUUGUUGAUGAUCCAGGUGACCUGCCUAGGAAGAAGUCUAAAUCAAAUGGUUGGGCAUCUUCCAGGACACCAGUUAAAAAUAGUCACAAAAAUUAUCCAUUAGGUUCAGGUGGACAAUAUUCUAGCUCUCAGUCUUCUAAGAAGCAUAAGUCUUUCAUGGGAACCCCUAGUCCGCAUGUUUCAAGGGGUAACUACCAGCAUGGUUUUUCUGCAUCAAGGUUUGGUAACUCGCAUGGUCGUUUUGGGAGAUCAUAGCAUAGCUGGGAACUGUUUGAUGUUGAUUGCUCUUCUUCCAGCAAAGAGUACCUGCAAAAAGAAAUAAACCCACAAUUUCUAACAACAGCCUCUGAGGGAUGUGUCAUUCUAAUUCGUCAUGUUGCUUCCCCAUGAAAUUUAUUUCUUUAAGCAAAUCCAGGGCUCUAAACAUGUCAUAAAUCUGGUGUGGGGCAAGUGAUUUUGCAACUAUGACCUACUUUUCAACAUUUUGCGGGGCUGUUGUUUUUGUACAUUAGGUAUGUGAUCUCAUUGCAAGCAGUUGAAAUUAUAGGAAGUAGAACAAAAUUGGGGACCAUUAUCCAGUUAGUCUAACUCCUUGUUGAAGUGGUUAGCAUGUUGAAUUCCCAUAUAUAAGAUGAUGGUAUCCCCUGCAUUUGAAGCUCAAAAAGAAUUAUUUAGAAAAUCUGGUGGAGGCUUCCUGUGUUAAGUAGUUUGGACUGCAGGAAUCCAAUGCUGAGAUAAGAGAACAUGUUAUGCCUGUUUUCGAAGAUUUUAUCCCAGAUUUUUGAGAUAGAAUGUGUUCCUUGAGGAUUUAGAUCUUCCAUACCGGACUGAAGGCUGCUGUGAGUGUUAUGUGGAUGCACAUGCUCAGGUGGACCUGUGGAAACCUUCUAUAUUACUGUUGCCUGUUGGUGCUCCAAGAUUUUUUUGUGGAUUGGAUGAUUGCAGCGUUAGUCAUCCGAAGAAGUUCUAAGAACUGGAGCUUUGGAUUCGUCUGAAGAAAUUCUGCGAACUGCAGCUUUGGAUUCGUCUGAAGUUCUGCAACCUGCAGCAUUGGAUCUUGCAUCUUUUGCAGGGCAUAUCUGCAUCUGGAUAACUGUAUCUUUCCAAUUCAGUAUCUGGUUAGCGUGUUCUCGUAGGGAUUUCAAUAGAUCUGAUGUUCCAUACCGAUUUUAUUUGAGAACAAUUAGUUCAUUGUUCAAAUAUUAGUUAUAUUUACUUUGUUUUUUGGUUGGCUCUUCGUAUUAAA